UGCAAAUUCAUAAGAAUUGUCUUCUUUUGACCUUGCUUUUUGUCCCAUAGCCUUCGUGAGUUAGUUGUCCACUUGGAUAUAAGCAGGUUAUCUUUUCAUUAUUGAUUUACAUGUUCAACUCUUUCCGUGUUUAGAAAAAGGUUUAGGUAAAAGUGUCUAAAAUGUCUCCCUCAAAGAAAAAAUAUCCUCUUUCAUCUUUUUUUUUUUUCCCCAGGGAAGAUUAUGCCUGAUUAGGGAGGUAAAAGAAGGCUGUGUAUGGAAGUGUAAAGCAAUAUAAAAUUGCCAUCUGUAAAAGAAUCUUCGAAGAGGCUGCAAGCAGAAUAUUUGCAAUCCCCAAGACCAUGGAUGCUGAUUUUUGCCAGAUCCUCAGGCACAUCUUACCAGCUUUGGAUUUCUCCUGGUGGAGCACUAGUUGGACAUAAUAUGCACUUAUUAUAAACAGUAUGCAGAGAUGCUAAAAAGAAUGAACCAGAAGUCAUCUGUAAUUUCUACAUAGAGGUAACCACUAUUAA
rnacentral:lncRNA from 1 species